rnacentral:rRNA from 1 species
UUGACCUCAAAUCAGGUAGGACUACCCGCUGAACUUAAGCAUAUCAAUAAGCGGAGGAAAAGAAACUAACAAGGAUUCCCCUAGUAACUGCGAGUGAAGCGGGAAAAGCUCAAAUUUAAAAUCUGGCAGUCUUUGGCUGUCCGAGUUGUAAUCUAGAGAA